AAGACAUAAUUCAAUUUACAUUUUAGUCAUUUAGCAGACGCUCUUAUCCAGAGCGAAUUACAGGAGCAAUUCGGGUUAAGUGUAGCCUCUUUUAGAAACCAAGAGUGAAAUAUUUACACACUCGUCUCUAACAUGUAGGCUCAGCAAUGCCGAACAGUCCCAUUACAAGUCAGAAUGUUGUUCUAACUUUUUCGGCUGAUUUUUCCCUAUGUCUGAAGUACUCUGAUAUAAAGAUCCACAGGGAAAUGCUAUCAACCCGACCUUCAGUACACUGGUCUGUAUAUCGGUUUGUAUCCGGUUUUAUUUUCAAUGCUGUUGCAAUUCGCACAUGACAAACCGAACCACAGACCAAACAGCAGACACUUCCAGCUGAUUAUGAGGAAACAUGCUUCGGUCAACUACGUUCAGUUACAUUCGGCUAUUGUUUACAUAUUGUGCAUCACGUGCAAUGAGUCUAGAGAUUGAAAACACAAGGGACAUACCGGCGCUGAAAAAAAGUUGAAUAAACAACACUCGCCUGUGAAUACCAUAUAUCCUGUUCUUACCGCCAAAAGGAUCAACAGCAUGUACAACUGGUAAAAGAAUACUUCAAAAUGAGAAGAUCCUGCCAUGGAAAAGACAACUGGGUGAACUUAAAGUGGAAAGGAUGGGAAAUAACUCACACCAUGCAACAGGACACCUUCAGCUGCGGGGUCUUUGUAAUGCAGAUGGCCAAGGAAGUUGCACAAAACUUCCCCAACAUCCCC